UUAGAGCACACUUGUGGACUUUGCAUUGCAUACUCAGCAGUUCUGCAAACGAAUCAUCACUUCAAUUUUGAGAUCACAGUCCUGUUUUCAGCUGGGUAUUCCCAAAUGAUGAUACACAAGACACUUAGACUAGAGAAUGUCUGAUUUAAGCAAAAUGUUCAGCCUUGCCAAAAGCAAAGUUUUAAUAAAAAUUCCAGCACUAUCACCACCAGAAUAGAAACCAUAUGAAUGUAAUGCAUUGAUUUUAAUUGCAACAAGCUUCACAGCCACUAUCCUCAGUUCAGAACCGUGGCGGAAAGAGAAGCGUGCUACCUGAAUCACUCAUUUUGUCUCUUCAGAAUAAGCAAAUGCUGGAAUUACUGUGUCUUCUCUCCAGAUAUAAAACAGAAAUAAGACUGUGACCUUGCAAAAAAAUGCUGCCAAUUUGCUCAUUAAAGUUUUGAAGCAAUUAGAACAUUA